AUAGUACUUCCUCCAUCCCAAAAUUCUUGUCUUAGAUUUGUCUAGAUAUGAAUGUAUCUAGUCACGUUUUAGUAUUUUGAUACAUCCAUUUCUAAACCAACCUAAGACAAGAAUUUUGGGACGGAGGGAGUACUAC
rnacentral:pre_miRNA from 1 species